rnacentral:lncRNA from 13 species
CUUGUUUUCAGUUAGUGGUAACAGCUGGUAAAGCAGUCCUUAAGGGAGGGGAGGUGGACUGUGAUUACAUCUGAAUGACUAGCAGCCUGUGUCUUUGCUUGGAAGCACUACUUAUGUGAUGAAAUAAUCGACUAUAUGAAAGACAAGUUUCUUGCUUAGUAGUUGUGGCACUGGAAAGGAAGAAUCACAUUCCUGCUUUGCUUUCUACUAGGUGCUCUACAGUUUUGGCCAAAACCAAGAAGCUUCCAGAGUUAUAUUAGCACCGUGAUGCAGAUGGGGGAAGAGCACUGUGUCCACUUCAUGUCGUCUUCAAUGAAACCCUAAGCCUCCUAUGUGGUAUGGUUAUGAAGCAGUUCUGAAAUAUGGUCUUGGAAUCUUAGAAAAGAGUUAUUCUUCUGGCUCUGGACUAUUCUUCUUGGUUCUGGACUUUGAUCCAGCUGAGCAGGUGAGCCUUUGGACAGGUUG